rnacentral:tRNA from 1 species
GCCUUCGUGGUGUACUGGUCCAGCACGCUGGACGCGUAACCGAGAGUUCCGUAGGUUCGAUUCUCGGCGAAGGCA